GAUGAACGCUGGCGGCGUGCCUAAUACAUGCAAGUCGAGCGAACAGACGAGGAGCUUGCUCCUCUGACGUUAGCGGCGGACGGGUGAGUAACACGUGGAUAACCUACCUAUAAGACUGGGAUAACUUCGGGAAACCGGAGCUAAUACCGGAUAAUAUAUUGAACCGCAUGGUUCAAUAGUGAAAGACGGUUUUGCUGUCACUUAUAGAUGGAUCCGCGCCGCAUUAGCUAGUUGGUAAGGUAACGGCCUACCAAGGCAACGAUGCGUAGCCGACCUGAGAGGGUGAGCGGCCACACUGGAACUGACACACGGUCCAGACCCCUACGGGAGGCAGCAGGAGGGAAUCUUCCGCAAGGGGCGAAAGCUUGACGGAGCAACGCCGCGUGAGUGAUGAAGGUCUUCGGAUCGUAAAACUCUGUUAUUAGGGAAGAACAAAUGUGUAAGUAACUAUGCACGUCUUGACGGUACCUAAUCAGAAAGCCACGGCUAACUACGU
rnacentral:rRNA from 1 species